rnacentral:rRNA from 1 species
CCAGACUCCUACGGGAGGCAGCAGUGAGGAAUAUUGGUCAAUGGCCGGAAGGCUGAACCAGCCAUGCCGCGUGAAGGUCAGUGCCCUAUGGGCGUUAAACUUCUUUUGUGCGGGAGCAAUAAUGGUCACGUGUGGCCAGACGAGAGUACCGUACGAAUAAGCAUCGGCUAACUCCGUGCCAGCAGCCGCGGUAAUACGGAGGAUGCGAGCGUUAUCCGGAUUUAUUGGGUUUAAAGGGUGCGCAGGCGGGAGAUCAAGUCAGCGGUAAAAUGUCGGGGCUCAACCCCGGCCGGCCGUUGAAACUGGUUUUCUAGAGUUGGAGAGAAGUAUGCGGAAUUCGUGGUGUAGCGGUGAAAUGCAUAGAUAUCACGAAGAACUCCGAUUGCGAAGGCAGCAUACCGGCUCCAUACUGACGCUGAGGCACGAAAGCGUGGGGAUCGAACAGGAUUAGAUACCCCAGUA